GACGGCAAUAGCUCGCUCUCUCCGCAAUAUUCGGAUCGACCGCUAGCUACCGGAGAGUCAAAGCGGACGGCAUGAUCCAUUGGCGAUUGAUGAGCAACCAUGCACGGUGCCGGCGGCAUCCAUCGGUGAUUUGUUGGGAUGCGGUGAGAUCCAUUUGCAGCAACAUGGCAAUCAUGGCGUUCCUAGGCAGUGCCCUAGCGGCGACGAUAUCAGUCAUCGAUUCGUCGUCUCGUCCUAUGUAGGCGCUGUGCGGUGACGCUGUCCACACGGAGGCAGCGGUGGCCUGGCUGCACCUCGGCGCGACGCUACUACUCCUCACCACCGGUGUGGACGAAGAACGACGGUUGGCCGGAGGUGCAGGAUCAUCCGAUCAUGCAAUCGGGGUUUCUUCGCCAAGCCCGGUUGACACAUAAAUCCAUGCGCCGUGCAGGGAAAUGAGGCCGUAACCACUCUGUUCUACUCCUUAUUCAUCCUGCCAAGGUAUUAUCUUUCCAUUUUUCUCUUCCUGCAGAUCGAGGAUUCCCUUUCUUAUUAGAUCUGUACUUGAAUGUAAUCCCCAUUCACCCUCUUUCCAUGAGUAGGCCUGCUAGUAUUUUAAAAAAAAUUAUUUGAUAACCCAGCGUAUUAUUUAGUCUUCUGAAGAAUGAUGAAGCUCCUAAUUAACUAGUUCUUUGCUUUGCUCCAUACAGAUGCAUGACAAAUACACCAUGGAUGGUGGCCAACACCGGGCAGUAUAUUCGCAUGGUUGCAUGGAUUAGCUGAUGUAGAUGUAGAAAAUGUGGAUAUGGCAGUAUGAAAAUUCUGUCCAAAGCAGUUUGUGCAGGUCGAAAAUUGGGUAUACUGUACAUUCAUUUUUUCUUCUUUUUCAGAAUGGCUAAAUGUAUGAAUCCAUAUACUGCCUGGAUUAUUGCAAAUUCUCUUGGGAUCGGACUAUGCUUCAAUUUAAUCUAAAUUGAGG
rnacentral:sRNA from 1 species